AGUGAACGCUGGCGGCAGGCCCAACACAUGCAAGUCGAGCGGCAGCGCGGGGGCAACCCUGGCGGCGAGCGGCGGACGGGUGAGUAAUGCCUAGGAAUCUGCCUGGUAGUGGGGGGCAACGUUUCGAAAGGAACGCUAAUACCGCAUACGUCCUACGGGAGAAAGUGGGGGAUCUUCGGACCUCACGCUAUCAGAUGAGCCUAGGUACGAUUAGCUAGUUGGUGAGGUAAAGGCUCACCAAGGCGACGAUCGUUAACUGGUCUGAGAGGAUGAUCAGUCACACUGGAACUGGGACACGGUCCAGACUCCUACGGGAGGCAGCAGUGGGGAAUAUUGGACAAUGGGCGAAAGCCUGAUCCAGCCAUGCCGCGUGUGUGAAGAAGGUCUUCGGAUUGUAAAGCACUUUAAGUUGGGAGGAAGGGCAGUAAGUUAAUACCUUGCUGUUUUGACGUUACCGACAGAAUAAGCACCGGCUAACUUCGUGCCAGCCGCCGCCGUAAAAC
rnacentral:rRNA from 1 species